rnacentral:rRNA from 11 species
UGUGUGUUAGUGGAAGCGUCUGGAAAGGCGCGCGAUACAGGGUGACAGCCCCGUACACAAAAAUGCACAUGCUGUGAGCUCGAUGAGUAGGGCGGGACACGUGGUAUCCUGUCUGAAUAUGGGGGGACCAUCCUCCAAGGCUAAAUACUCCUGACUGACCGAUAGUGAACCAGUACCGUGAGGGAAAGGCGAAAAGAACCCCGGCGAGGGGAGUGAAAAAGAACCUGAAACCGUGUACGUACAAGCAGUGGGAGCACGCUUAGGCGUGUGACUGCGUACCUUUUGUAUAAUGGGUCAGCGACUUAUAUUCUGUAGCAAGGUUAACCGAAUAGGGGAGCCGAAGGGAAACCGAGUCUUAACUGGGCGUUAAGUUGCAGGGUAUAGACCCGAAACCCGGUGAUCUAGCCAUGGGCAGGUUGAAGGUUGGGUAACACUAACUGGAGGACCGAACCGACUAAUGUUGAAAAAUUAGCGGAUGACUUGUGGCUGGGGGUGAAAGGCCAAUCAAACCGGGAGAUAGCUGGUUCUCCCCGAAAGCUAUUUAGGUAGCGCCUCGUGAAUUCAUCUCCGGGGGUAGAGCACUGUUUCGGCAAGGGGGUCAUCCCGACUUACCAACCCGAUGCAAACU